AGAGUUUGAUCCUGGCUCAGGACGAACGCUGGCGGCGUGCCUAAUACAUGCAAGUAGAACGCUGAAGAGAGGAGCUUGCUCUUCUUGGAUGAGUUGCGAACGGGUGAGUAACGCGUAGGUAACCUGCCUUGUAGCGGGGGAUAACUAUUGGAAACGAUAGCUAAUACCGCAUAACAAUGGAUGACACAUGUCAUUUAUUUGAAAGGGGCAAUUGCUCCACUACAAGAUGGACCUGCGUUGUAUUAGCUAGUAGGUGAGGUAACGGCUCACCUAGGCGACGAUACAUAGCCGACCUGAGAGGGUGAUCGGCCACACUGGGACUGAGACACGGCCCAGACUCCUACGGGAGGCAGCAGUAGGGAAUCUUCGGCAAUGGGGGCAACCCUGACCGAGCAACGCCGCGUGAGUGAAGAAGGUUUUCGGAUCGUAAAGCUCUGUUGUAAGUCAAGAACGAGUGUGAGAGUGGAAAGUUCACACUGUGACGGUAGCUUACCAGAAAGGGACGGCUAACUACGUGCCAGCAGCCGCGGUAAUACGUAGGUCCCGAGCGUUGUCCGGAUUUAUUGGGCGUAAAGCGAGCGCAGGCGGUUUGAUAAGUCUGAAGUUAAAGGCUGUGGCUCAACCAUAGUUCGCUUUGGAAACUGUCAAACUUGAGUGCAGAAGGGGAGAGUGGAAUUCCAUGUGUAGCGGUGAAAUGCGUAGAUAUAUGGAGGAACACCGGUGGCGAAAGCGGCUCUCUGGUCUGUAACUGACGCUGAGGCUCGAAAGCGUGGGGAGCAAACAGGAUUAGAUACCCUGGUAGUCCACGCCGUAAACGAUGAGUGCUAGGUGUUGGAUCCUUUCCGGGAUUCAGUGCCGCAGCUAACGCAUUAAGCACUCCGCCUGGGGAGUACGACCGCAAGGUUGAAACUCAAAGGAAUUGAC
rnacentral:rRNA from 1 species